GGAGAUGUAGCUCAGGGGUAGAGCAUUUAUCUAUCAUAUAUAGAACCCUGGGUUCCAUCCCUAGCUGCAGCA
rnacentral:tRNA from 1 species